AACGAACGCUGGCGGCAUGCCUAACACAUGCAAGUCGAACGAGACCUUCGGGUCUAGUGGCGCACGGGUGCGUAACGCGUGGGAACCUGCCUUUAGGUUCGGAAUAACUCAGAGAAAUUUGAGCUAAUACCGGAUGAUGUCUUCGGACCAAAGAUUUAUCGCCUUUAGAUGGGCCCGCGUUGGAUUAGCUAGUUGGUGGGGUAAAGGCCUACCAAGGCGACGAUCCAUAGCUGGUCUGAGAGGAUGAUCAGCCACACUGGGACUGAGACACGGCCCAGACUCCUACGGGAGGCAGCAGUGGGGAAUAUUGGACAAUGGGCGAAAGCCUGAUCCAGCAAUGCCGCGUGAGUGAUGAAGGACUUAGGGUUGUAAAGCUCUUUUACCCGAGAUGAUAAUGACAGUAGCGGGAGAAUAAGCUCCGGCUAACUCCGUG
rnacentral:rRNA from 1 species